rnacentral:rRNA from 1 species
UACGUAGGGCGCAAGCGUUGUCCGGAUUUAUUGGGCGUAAAGAGCUCGUAGGCGGCUUGUCGCGUCGUCUGUGAAAUCCCGCGGCUCAACCGCGGGUCUGCAGUCGAUACGGGCAGGCUAGAGUUCGGUAGGGGAGAGUGGAAUUCCUGGUGUAGCGGUGAAAUGCGCAGAUAUCAGGAGGAACACCGGUGGCGAAGGCGGGUCUCUGGGCCGAUACUGACGCUGAGGAGCGAAAGCGUGAGGAGCGAACAGG